rnacentral:rRNA from 1 species
CACAGAGUUAGCCGAUGCUUAUUCCUCAGAUACCGUCAUUGUUUCUUCUCCGAGAAAAGAAGUUGACGACCCGUAGGCCUUCCACCUCCACGCGGCAUUGCUCCGUCAGGCUUUCGCCCAUUGCGGAAGAUUCCCUACUGCUGCCUCCCGUAGGAGUUUGGGCCGUGUCUCAGUCCCAAUGUGGCCGAUCAGUCUCUCAACUCGGCUAUGCAUCAUUGCCUUGGUAAGCCGUUACCUUACCAACUAGCUAAUGCACCGCAGGUCCAUCCAAGAGUGAUAGCAGAACCAUCUUUCAAACUCUAGACAUGCGUCUAGUGUUGUUAUCCGGUAUUAGCAUCUGUUUCCAGGUGUUAUCCCAGUCUCUUGGGCAGGUUACCCACGUGUUACUCACCCGUCCGCCGCUCGCUUGUAUCUAGUUUCAUUUAGUGCAAGCACUAAAAUCAUCUAGGCAAGCUUGCUCGACUUGCAUGUAUUAGGCACGCCCG